rnacentral:misc_RNA from 1 species
AACUUUUGGCAAUGGAUCACUUGGCUCUGCCAUCGAUGAAGAACGCAGCGAAAUGCGAUAUGUAAUGUGAAUUGCAGAAUUUAGUGAAUCAUCGAAUCUUUGAACGCACAUUGCGCCCCUUGGUAUUCCGAGGGGCAUGCCUGUCCGAGCGUCAUAUACACCAUUCAAGCUCUGCUUGGUAUUAGGCCAUGCCAGCGAUGGCAGGCCUUAAAUUUAGUGGCGGCACCGUUGGGUCCCGAGCGUAGUACUCACCUCGCUACGGGUCCUGGCAGCUGGCGACCAGCAACCCCAACUUCUUAAGGUUGACCUCGGAUCAGGUAGGAAUACCCGCUGAACUUAAGCAUAUCAAUAGCGGAGGCU